AAGGGGGCAAUGGGGGCAAUGGGGGUCAUUGGGGGCAAUGGGGGCAAUGGAGUCAUUGGAGUCAAUGGGGGCAAUGGGGGCAAUUGGGUUAUUGGGGGCAAUGGGGGCAAUGGGGGUAAUGGGGUCAGUGGGGGCAAUUGGGGUAUUGGCGUCAAUGGGGGCAAUGGGGGUAAUGGGGUCAAUGGGGGCAAUGGGGGUCAUUGGGGGCAAUGGGGGUAAUGGGGGUAAUGGGGUCGGUGGGGCAAUGGGGACAUUGGGGGCAAUGGGGUCAUUGUGGGCAAUGGGGGCAUUGGGGGCAAUGGGGGCAAUUGGGGUAUUGGAGUCAAUGGGGGUAAUGGGGUCAGUGGGGGCAUUGGGGGCAAUGGGGCUAUGGGGUAAUGGGGUCAGUGGGGGCAUUGGGGGCAAUGGGGGGAAUGGGGUCAGUGGAGGCAUUGGGGCAAUGGGGCCAUUGGGGGCAAUGGGGGCAUUGGGGCAAUGGGGGUAAUGGGGUCAUUGGGGGCAAUGGGGGUAAUGGGGGUCAAUGGGGGUAAUGGGGUCAAUGGGGACAUUGGGGGCAAUGGGGGCAAUGGGGACAUUGGGGGCAAUGGGGUCAUUGUGGGCAAUGGGGGCAUUGUGGGCAAUGGGGGCAAUUGGGGUAUUGGAGUCAGUGGGGGUAAUGGGGUCAGUGGGGGCAUUGGGGGCAAUGGGGGCAAUGGGGGCAAUGGGGUCAUUGGGGGCAAUGGGGGCAAUGGGGUCAUUGGGGGCAAUGGGGGUAAUGGGGUCAAUGGGGGCAAUGGGGGUCAUUGGGGGCAAUGGGGGUAAUGGGGCAAUUGGGGCCAUUGUGGACAAUGGGGGUAAAUGGGGUCAAUGGGACAAUGGGGGCAAUGGGGGCAAUGGGGGUAAUGGGGACGUAUGGGGUUCUGUGGGGACGUAUAUGGGGUUCUGUGGGGAUCUAUGGGGCCGCUAUGGGGCAGAGGUGACCGUGUGCCCCCCCAGGUGCUGUGGGCCGCCCCCCCGGGCCCCCCCUUCCUGCUGCUGCUCAGCUGCGCGGCCGUCACUGCGCCCGGACGGAGAUGGGGGGACGGAGACGGGGGGACCGCGUGUGGGGACCCCCCCCUGGAGGCGGAGGCGCUGCUGAGCCACGCGGAGGGCAUUCUGCUGCAGAUGGAGGGGGCAAAGGAGCUGCCGCCCCACAUCCGGGAGCUGUUGGCUUUGGGGCCCCCCCCCGCCCCAUAGAUGUGGGGUGAGACCCCUCUCUGCCCCAUAGAUAUGGGGUGAGGGCCCCUCUCUGCCCCAUAGAUGUGGGGUGAGAUCCUCUCUCUGCCCCAUAGAUAUGGGGUGAAGAUCCCCCUGCCCCAUAGAUAUGGGAUGAUUACCCCCCCAGCCCCAUAGAUAUGGAGUGAGACCCCUCUCUGCCCCAUAGAUGUGGGGUGAAGAUCCCCCCUGCCCCAUAGAUGUGGGAUGAUGAACCCCCCGCCCCAUAGAUAUGGGGUGAGAUCCCCUCUCUGCCCCAUAGAUAUGGGGUGAAGAUCUUCUCCGCCCCAUAGAUAUGGGGUGAAACCCCCCCUGCCCCAUAGAUGUGGGGUGAGAUCCUCUCUCUGCCCCAUAGAUAUGAGGUGAAGAUCCCCCUGCUCCAUAGAUGUGGGGUGAAGAUCCCCCUGCCCCAUAGAUAUGGGAUGAUUACCCCCCAGCCCCAUAGAUAUGGAGUGAGACCCCUCUCUGCCCCAUAGAUAUGGGGUGAGGGCCCCUCUCUGCCCCAUAGAUGUGGGGUGAAGAUCCCCCUGCCCCAUAGAUGUGGGGUGAUGAACCCCCCGCCCCAUAGAUAUGGGAUGAAGAUCUCCCUGCCCCAUAGAUGUGGGGUAAAGAUCUCCUCUGCCCCAUAGAUGUGGGAUGAUUACCCCCCCCAGCCCCAUAGAUGUGGGGUGAGAUCCCCUCUCUGCCCCACAGAUACGGGGUGAGGACCCCUCUCUGCCCCAUAGAUGUGGGGUGAAGACCCUCUCAGCCCUAUAGAUAUGGGAUGAGACCCCCCCCCUGCCCCAUAGAUGUGCAUUGAAGAUCCCCCUGCCCCAUAGAUGUGGGGUGAAGAUCCUCUCCGCCCCAUAGAUGUGGGGUGAAGACUCCCCCGGCCCCAUAGAUAUGUGGGGUGAAGAUCUCCUCCGCCCCAUAGAUGUGGGGUUUUGGGGCGACCCAGAAAGGGGUGAAAAUAAAUGGGCGAUGCCCCAAAUGCUGCUGUGUCACUGUGCCCCAUAGUGCCCCAUAGAGCCCCAUAGCGCCCCAUAGAGACCCCAUAGAGCCCCAUAGCACCCCAUAGAGCCCCAUAGCGCCCCAUAGAGACCCCAUAGAGCCCCAUAGUGCCCCAUAGAGACCCCAUAGAGACCCCAUAGCGCCCCACAGUGCCCCAUAGAGACCCAUAAGUGCCUCCCCAGCCCCACAGUUGCCCCACAAGUGACCCCCUGCCCCAUAGAGACACCAUAGUGACCCGUAGGGACCCCAUAGAGACCCAUAGCGCCACCUAGAGACCCAUAGAGACCCCAUAGCGCCCCACAGUGCCCCAUAGAAACCCAUAAGUGCCUCUCCAGCCCCACAGUUGCCCCACAAGUGGACCCCCAGACCCAUAAGUGCCUCUCCAGCCCCACAGCUGCCCCACAAGUGACCCCCUGCCCCAUAGAGACCCCAUAGAGCCCCAUAGCGCCCCAUAGAGCCCCAUAGUGCCCCACUGUGCCCCAUAGAGACCCAUAAGUGCCUUUCCAGCCCCACAGCUGCCCCACAAGUGGACCCCCCUGCCCAAUAGAGACCCCAUAGAACCCCAUAGUGCCCCACAGUGCCCCAUAGAGACCCAUAAGUGCCUCUCCAGCCCCACAGCUGCCCCACAAGUGACCCCCCCAGCCCCACAGCUGCCCCCCCAUCCCCACAGCUGCCCCACAAGUGACCCUCCCCCCACCCCACAGCUGUCCCACAGAUGCCACCCCACAUCCCCACAGCUGCCCCACAAGUGACCCCCCCAUCCCCACAGCUGCCCCACAAGUGACACACCCAGCCCCACAGCUGCCCCACAAGUAGCCCCCCCAGCCCCACAGCCCCCCCCCACCCCCAGAACUGCCCCACAGCUGCCCCCCCACCCCCCAUCCUCACAGCUGCCCCACAAGUGACCCCCCCCCAGCCCCACAGCUGCCCCACAAGUGACCCUCCCAGCCCCACAGCUGCACCCCAGCCCCACAGCUGCCCCACAAGUGACCCCCCCAACCCCACAGCUGCCCCACUCACCUCCACAGCUGCCCCACAAGUGACCUCCCCAUCCCCAGAGAUGCCCCUCCAGCCCCACAGCUGCCCCACAAGUAGCCCCCCCCAGCCCCACAGCCCCCCCCCCACCCCCAGAACUGCCCCACAGCUGCCCCCCCACCCCCCAUCCUCACAGCUGCCCCACCAGUGACCCCCCCCCCAACCCCACGGCUGCCCCCCCCAGCCCCACAGCUGCCCCACAAGUGACCCCCCCCCCCAACCCCACGGCUGCCCCCAGCCCCACAGCUGCCUCCCCCAGCCCCACAGCUGCCCCACAAGUGACUGCUCAGCCCCACAACUGAACAGCCCCCUGAAAGCCUUUAUUGGGGCUCAGUUUGGGGGGUCCCGGGGGGUCGUUGGGGGGGUCCGCGGUUGCCGUGGGGCCGUAGGAGCAGCAGCAGCCUCAGCCAUGGGGCCCAGACGGGGGGGGGGCCGAGGGGCUGCAGGUAAAGGCGGCGGCCGUGGGGCAGCC
rnacentral:lncRNA from 7 species